rnacentral:misc_RNA from 1 species
GGAAGGAUCAUUAUUGAUUGCGAAUCGUUGCCUUCUGUGCUGGCCAGCUCUGGCAAGUGCACGUCGGUGACUUUCAUCCAAUACCCUGUGAACCUUUGGCCUCUGCUAGCUUCGGCCGGCAGGGGAAUUUACACACACUCGAAUGUAAUGAAAUUUAUUGUCGUGCGCAAGCACUAAUGUACAACUUUCAACAACGGAUCUCUUGGCUCUCGCAUCGAUGAAGAACGCAGCGAAAUGCGAUAAGUAAUGUGAAUUGCAGAAUUCAGUGAAUCAUCGAAUCUUUGAACGCACCUUGCACCCUUUGGCAUUCCGAAGGGUAUGCUCGUUUGAGUGUCAUUGUACUCUCACACUCCCAGUCUUUGGAUUGGGAGGUGGACUUGGGUGUUGCUGCUUUACCGUGGCUCACCUCAAAUGGAUUCGUGCAACUCUUGGUUGGACAUAGUACGGCGUGAUAAGUGUUUCGCCGGCACCUCACUAGAGGGUGGCUGAUCGGGAGCUCUGUGCUUCAAACCGUCUUUGGACAAUGACUGACAACUUGACCUCAAAUCGAGUAGGACCACCCGCUGAACUUAAGCAUAUCAAUAAGCGGAGGAAAAGAAACUAACAAGGAUUCCCCUAGUAACGGCGAGUGAAGAGGGAAGAGCUCAAAUUUUGAAUCUGGCGUCUUUGGCGUCCGAAUUGUAAUCUAGAGAAGUGU